ACCAAUUCCCCAUUCUUUAUCCCGUCUAACAACCUCCCCAAUGUGUCGCCAUUUCUUCCGCCCUACAAUCUACACCUCUUUAAUCUCCUUAGUCAUUUAUAUAACCAUCAUGCACUUUUCUCUACUGCCCACUCCUAUGCUCUGGUAUUCAGUCGUCGACCACUACCCACCUACCCUACACCUCCAACGUCGUCGACCACUCCCACCAUCUGCCAUCGUUACAACGACCUAAAUCGACACCACUCACCACCUCACUCAUGCUACAAAGAUAUAGUCGGUAUGCCUUCUUCCACCUUUAAUCAGUGAAGCUAUGACAUCUUACUUCUAGAUCUGUAAACCCUUGUCGCUCUCUCCCCACUAGUUCUUCUCUUUCGUUGUUUUUUUGAAAUCACAUUCGUAGAUAAGUCACGAAAAGAUAUGAAAUUCAAAUUUUAAAAUCCCUUAUCUCUGACCUAUAUAUCGUCUCCCUUCCCUAUAUCUCCCCUCCUUUGCUUUGUGAUCGUGAACAUGAAAACGGCCUUUGUAAUCUGAUGGUGGUGGUGUCGCCUUCAACCACCCACCACCAUGGGGUCAUCAGCGGAAUCACACAGUUCCAUUUAUAACCACUUUCCAGAUACUCUCUCUCUAUAUUUCUGUUUGAUUUAUUUCCCUUAAUGUUUUCAUUUUUAUAAUUCGAUUCUCUUCUCUAUUUGAGAAUUUGCUUUUUCAAAUUCCAUAUUUUAAUUGUAGAUUGGCAAUUUUAACUAGAAAUAUCACAAUAAACCAAUGAUAGCGGUAUGGAUCUAUGUUUAUUGGCUUCAAUUUUUCUUAUCUUUUAAUAUCCUGGUUUUCAAAACCCUAGAUCUUUUGCUCCGUGCAGUUUGUAACAUUUACAGACACAAGCUUCGUUUGCUUGCAACAAAAAUCAAACAAAAAGGUUAAAGUUUGGUGCUUGUCCAAACUAUUUUUUUUCUUUUUUUGAAUUAUUAUUGUCAAUUUGUGUGUGUUAGUGUCUGUUUAUUAAUGUGAUGUGUGUAUUUGUGUUGUGUGUGUGCUGGUGUCUGAAAAAAACUCACAUGUAGCUCCGUUAAGGCUUUAUUGGGAAGUGAUUUAUUUGUUUAUUUCAUAUAUCAUUAUUUUUUGGGAUUAUGGAUUUGAUUAAUGAACUUAUGAUAGUAUUGACAAUUGGCAGGGCAAUAUAGCGUGUCAUGUUUUCUCACAAGAUUUUUGUAAUAGCAAUAGAUUUGUAUGAAGAAGGAGAUGAGAUCAGCGAUACCUAUUAGAAAACACACCAAUUGAACCACUUACCACCACCAUUGCAGAAAACCCAUCACACCAGUCAAAAUGUCUAACUUUCUUAACUUCAGUUUUUUGACCUUUCAAGUUCCAUAGAUGUCAUUCUAACCUGUUCUAUGUGCAAUGACAAAUGUGUGGUCUCAAGAUGUUGAAUGGGAAAAUUAUGGUUAGAGUACAGUUUUGGAUGGAUACAAAUGGCAGAACAUGUGGUGAAACUAUAUACAGAAUCAACUGGUUGUUCUAUUGAAACUAAAGAAAGUGCAUUGGUAUGGCAGAAUUGGGAUGCAUAUCUGGGAUUUGGAUUUCCUCAAACAAAAGAGAUGUUGCAUCAUCUUCAAUGAGUCUUGGCAAAUGAACCUGUUGCUAUCAAAAGUGGUCAAUAUAUCAUUGAAGUCAAACACUAUGUUACCAAUUUCCCCAACGAUAGUGUACUCUAAACCCAUUAGUGCGACCCUAAUCAUCUCCUUUUACAUGGAUUGCAAUCCUAAGCUGAUGCGUCUUUUUGAUCCAACAGACAAAAAAUAACCACAAGACACAUGAAAUGAAUCAAUGGAUGCAAUUUCUCCCAAGAACUAUUUCAUGUAAAUGUAUAUGGUAAAAGAUAAAAUUUAGCAUUAACGAGUUCUUACCAUUCUUUCCCAUUUUCAUAUACAUAUUCAAAUAUGUCCAACUUUUAAAGAAAAGGUAUCCUCUUUGUCUC